AUACCCGUUAGGGCGAUCGCCACUGGACAACGAAUCUUACCAAACGGAACUAGCCACCAGUUUCAACAUUACUAUGACUAUAUAGACUUCAGAGUAGAUAUUAGCGACUAUUCUGUCUUUGAGACUCCAAAAGGUGUAUAUUGUCCUGGGCGUAAUAAUACAAGACCCGUACCAAAGCCAAGUUCUUCCUUUCACUACAAGGCAGAGAUUAUUUACCAACAGUCACUGGCUAUCACCUCAUUAGAUAUAUGGUACGAUAGUGAGCUUAACCUUAUGAGAAUGGACUACAGACCAACAACACCAACGAGAACAUCGUACAAUACAGAUUCAUUAAGUGAAGUGCAUGA